rnacentral:rRNA from 1 species
UACAGAGGUCUCAAGCGUUGUUCGGAUUCAUUGGGCGUAAAGGGUGCGUAGGCGGCGCGGUAAGUCGGGUGUGAAAUCUCGGGGCUUAACUCCGAAACUGCAUUCGAUACUGCCGUGCUUGAGGACUGGAGAGGAGACUGGAAUUUACGGUGUAGCGGUGAAAUGCGUAGAUAUCGUAAGGAAGACCAGUGGCGAAGGCGGGUCGUCGUGGACAGUUCCUGACGCUGAGGCACGAAGGUCAGGGGAGCAAACGGG